rnacentral:rRNA from 1 species
AUGGGUAUUGAGGCAAAGCAUGAUACACUAGGCAUCAAGAAUGUUUUGAGGUCCUCGAUCAGAAUAGGCUAUAGAUGUGCCUCUGAACACCGGGCUCUCUUCAGUCUAGCAUUAUUGCUUUACCUGCUGUACAGAUCUUCACCGGGUCUCUUCGCUUUCAUUCUCUCCACUUCCCCUGUAAUUAUAUGCGCCACCCUUCUUCUUGGUAUACUGCUAAGUUACGGGGGCACACAUCUUCCUGAGACUGUUGAAGACCGGAAGACUGACACAGUUUGUUCAGCUCCCAAGUUUGGAUGCUUUUCCAGAAAUAUUCAUUUUGAAGCACACCAGGGAUUUUCUGUGCCUGCAGUUAAUGAGAACAAAGCUGGCUUCAAAUGUUGGGAAUUCAGAAACCCAAGUUUUGGCAAGGAGAGGGAUGAGAUUGUUCCUCUUUUGAAGGGAUCAGUUGAUCAAGGAGAUGAGAGAGUUUAUGCACAUGAUAGACUCGCUGAGGUGUUCACUUCUGUUCCUUCUGUGGUGACACUGCAGCAAGAGGUUGGUUUGGAGGAAUUCAUGAAGACUAAACAUGAGCGGGAGUCCAAAGAUCCAUUUUGCAGCAAUGAUAAGAGUACUGAGUAUGUUAGCUUGUUUGAGGAUGCUGAUCAAAAAAGAGUUGAUGAGAAGGAGGCGACAUCUGAAUUAUGCUCUUUCAGUGAGAAUGAUAGGGAAAAUGGUGAAACGGUGGCAAAGGAAAAUAAAGGUAGAGUGGUAACAGAUUCACAAAGUGAUAAUGUGAGAGAGGCUUCAGAAGAUGAACCAGCUAAAAAACAGGCUGGUACUUGCAAAUGGGGCCGUGCUUUUUCCGUCCGUCAGAGAAAGAAGCUUGAUGGCAUAAAGAUUGAGGCUAUCAAUGUUGAUGUAAGCAGCCAAAUAGAUUCUUCUCUAGUUUCACCAUGUGCAAGAGUUGGCGACCAUGAUGUUUCGUCAGGUUUUGAUUCUGGUAAGCCGGAGAGUUCCUCUUCUGAUAUCACUAUGGUUGAUGUUGCUCCAAUGCUCGAUGAUAUUGAUCCUCCUCUAGGCAAUGAUGAUUCUUUUAAGCUAGAGAGUUCCUCUUGUGAUAUCACUGUGGCUGAUGUUGCUCCAAUGCUUGAUGAGAUUGAUCCUCCUUUAGGCAACGAAUUCCAGAGCCCUGGUCCCAUUGGCAAUGAUGAUUCUGGCCUUUCAUGUCAAAAUAAUCAGGAUCCUCAACUGGAUAGUGGUAAUAACAACAAGCCUGAUACUAGCAAAGAUGAAAAUGAUGCCAAGGAUGGAGAAAAGAAGAAGGAUGAUGGUGGGAACCAACCUGAAUUUCUUGGGACAGCAGACGAAGAUAAGAAUGCCAUGGAUCUUGGGUACUCUGAGGUGGAAAGGAGUCGCAGGUUGGAGUUCAUGAUGGCUAAGAGAAGAUCGAGGAAGAACAUAAUAUUCGAUCUUGAUGGAAAUGAUGCUUGUCAGAGUGCAGAUAGAUUUUCACGUUUCCGCAUGCAAGUUCAGCCUAUUUCGGUAUCAAGGAGAAGCCCUUUUGACCUUGCUUCUGAUCCUGAUGAGGCAGCCAUUCCUGGCUCGGCUCCUUCAAUCAUGCAUCGGCGAAAUAACCUGUUUGAACCCCCUUCUGAACAAUCAGAUGAUAGCAGUGUAUCUGCACAUGAUAACUUGGACUCUCAAGAAAUCAUGACAGGUUCCCGCCGAGACAUGGUCUUCAAGAGGCAUGAUACCUUCAACUUUGGCGGCCAAGAGAGACACCGUUCUCGAUUUAAACCAUGUUUCGUGCUGGAUGCAAUGGAUAUUCAGGAAGAAAGUACGGGCAGUUUCCAGAGGCAGUUCAGUGACAAGAGUGUGUCAAAACUAAGUGCUGUAUCUGAGUGUGAUACCCUUUCUUCGGUUGCUGAUCAAGAGGAAUGCAGCGACCUCGUCAAAAAGGAUUUCCAGAGGUGGUUCAGUGACAAGAGCGUGUCGAGACUGAGCGUUGUUUCUGAAUCUGACACCCUUUCUUUGGUCGCCGAUCAAGAGGAAUGCAACGACCUCGUCAAAAAGGAUUUCCAGAGGUGGUUCAGUGACAAGAGCAUGUCGAGGCUGAGCGUUGUUUCUGGAUCUGACACCCUUUCUUUGGUCGCCGGUCAAGAGGAACGCAGCGACUUCAAUAAGGAUUUCCUCUGGUAUUUCCAGAGGCAGUUCAGUGACAAGAGCAUGUCGAAAGUGACCGUCGUUUCUGAAUCCGAUGCCCUUUCUUUGGUCGCCGAUCAGGAGGAACGCGCCGACUUCAAUAAGGAUUUCCUUUGGUACUUCCAGAGGCAGUUCAGUGACAAGAGUGUGUCGAGGCAGAGCGUUGUUACUGAAUCUGAUAUCAUUUCGUCGGUCGCCGAUCAAGAGGACCGCAGCGACCACGUCAAAAGGGAUUUCCUUUUGGGAGACACAUCGCCAGAGCUGCCAAGGCAGGAAGGUGAUGUCGGAAAUGCUGGAAGCGAAUGCCCAGACUCGGUCGAUUUUGCGGGUGAUGAAACUCUGAAUGCUGCUGUCGCCAGUGGGAUGGGGCUCUGA